rnacentral:rRNA from 1 species
GUGUGCGGAUAAAGUCGUAAGACGCUUCUUGAGCGGCCUGCUCGGUAUCAGCUAGUUGGUAGGGUAAAAGCCUACCAAGGCUAUGACGCCUAGGGGAGGUGAGAGCCUGACCCCCACCGAUGGAACUGAGAUACGGUCCAUACACCUACGGGUGGCUGCAGUCGAGAAUCUUCCACAAUGGACGAAAGUCUGAUGGAGC